rnacentral:rRNA from 1 species
GCGGGGAUCUUACUAGGUCCGGACCGAUUCUAUGAUCGUCGUACUGUGGGGUGCUACGUGAUUACUGGAUGAGUGGUGCAUGGCCGUUCUUAGUUCGUGGUGUUAAUUGUCUACUUAAUUGUCCGUAGUUUAAUACAUGUAUUGAACUAUGAACGAACGAGAUCGAGACCCGUGGUUGCGUGUGUUUGAAUUCGGUAUUACUACGGGGAUCGCGUAUUACUCCACGGUACGAUCGAAAGACUCGGCAAUAACAGGUCUGUGAUGCCCUCAGAUGUUCUAGGCUGCACACGUGCUACAGUGUGG